rnacentral:misc_RNA from 1 species
GUGAGUCAUCGAAUCUUUGAACGCACAUUGCGCUCUCUGUUCUGCAGAGAGCACGCCUGUUCGAGCGCCAUUUCACCCUCCAAGCAAUGCUUGAUGUUGGACGCAGCAAACGAGCUGGUCCCAAACUCCUUUGGCGCCGUCCGUCGAGCACCAGCGUAGCAAGAAAACCUUCGCUUCGUGUCUCGGUUGGCGGUCGCCGCGAUGAAAACCUAUCACACGGUUGGCCUCGGAUCAGGUGGGGAUACCCGCUGAACUUAAGCAUAUCAAUAAGCGGAGGA